rnacentral:lncRNA from 1 species
AUGGAUCUCUUGUUCUCAUUUGCCGCAAACUCUACUGAUCUUUUCAAACUAAAAGUCUUCGUUGAUAGUUUUUCAAAAGUCGAUGCUGUUUUUAGUACCUCUCUGUCACUUCUAAAGAGUCUGCCUUCUCUUGUAGAGCUGAAUUAUGAUCUUACGCAGCAAAAGAAAGUGUUUGUGGUGUCAGCCAAACACAAAGGAUCUAGUCAUGUCAUAAAUACAAUGAUUAACAGAGGUGAUUUUGACGGUCAUCUUGCUUUAAAUGUCUCCAGUCCAUUGUUACCUGGGGUGAGGAAAAUUAGUUUUGCAUCUAAUUAUAAUUUUUCGGACUUCUCAAAAGUGGAAUUAAACUCAGUAAUGGCUGCUGACUCUCUAAAAGGAAAUUUUUCUUUAAAAUCAAACUUGGAGAGUACACUGUUUAUAUCUAUCCUGGCAGUAUCUUCCGUCAAGAAUCAUAAGAGCUUUCCCAUGGGUAUUGACUUAUCAGCAGAUUUUUCGUUUGAUAAUAAAACUGUCACUUUAAGUGUCUCUAAUCCUGGUCAAAAUGUGAAAGAUGAUUAUUCAGCGCACCUUUACUUCCAAAAUCUCACUGCUGAAAACAGAUUGAUCUGGAAACAAAAUCACGAAAUGCGUUUUAUGACAUCAUUGUCUUAUGAUUUUUCCUCAAAGCGAGAGUUUGCUUUUAGUCAGAAGAAAGAUUUGGAGCCUCUACAAGAAUUAAAUUUCAAUUUAACUAAGGUGCAAAAUGGGAGUGUGUCACUUAUGAACAUCUGGAAUAUAACCAGUUUCGAAUUGAGCUAUGAUCUCUUGAAAAUUGAUUCGAUAAACCUUGAAAUGAAUUAUCUGAGCCAAAAAUUUAACUGUCAAGUUUCGUCCUCAUCACUCUUUGCACAUUCAUCGCUGGAUUCAUCCUUGUCAUUCCUUUGGAACAACACCGGCACUGACUCAGCUGUCUCCCUCCAAGAGCCCUUCAAACUUAAAAGCCGAACCCAGCUUAGUUUUGAUGUGAAAAAAAGUUUUGUUAGAUCAGUUUUAUCUAUCUCUGAAAUGGACUAUUUUAACCUAUCUUACUCUCAUGAUCUGAUUGGACCAGAAGAAUUUGGAAUGUCAGAUGUAAUAGACCUAUUACUCUAUCAAGGUACUGGUGGUCCAGGAUUGGUCAAAAGUGAGAUAGCUCUUUCCGAGAAAUUCUGGAGCACUGACUUGAAAGUAGAUGCUGAAUUGCGAGUAAAUCAAAUAACUGCUGAUCUAGACAGUGACCUCCUUGGUAGCAGUCUGAAGUUUAAUGUGAAUAUGGGAGGAGAACCUAAGAUUGUAGGGGCUUUGACUUUCAACUAUAAUGAAUCUCUGAACCGUUUUGCUUCUAUCAUCCACUAUCAAUCUGAGUAUAACCACAAGUUCAGCAUUCAAGUUAACUCUACUGGAGCCCAGCCAUCUAAAGAAAUUUACUCCAGUUUCUCAUGGGAUGAUGAUGUUUUGUUCCUUAAUUUCACGUUUGAUCUGAACAUUGAUCGAAGCACAAUCAAUGCUGCUGUGAAAAGUAGUCAUUUUCAGGACAUGAGUGUUAUGCUCAACUAUGAUAUCAGGUCGGAAAGUAAAUUAGCAAGACUAGCUACGAAGGUUGGUUCAAGCGCGUAUGUCUUGAAAGCACAGUCCACCUCCACGCCGAAAAACCAAACACUUCAGCUAAGGUUCAAGUCUCCCAUUGAGGGUUAUUCUUUGCUCCAGCUUUCAGCUGAGCUCUCGUCUUUUGUUGAUGGUACACUAAUUAGAGAAAAGUUUGGUACCUCUUUGGUCAAAGAGACUUUCGAAACCAAGAUAGAUGCAUCUUUUGAAGUUGAUUCGGAUCCUGAAAAUCCAAAAUUUUCUGUUUUGGUGAGUGGUAGUAACAUACUAGAAUGGAAUGGCAAAGUGAGGAACUGGUUAAUAUCUUUACGUAGUGAGAGGAAUCCAGUGAUGAACAUUGCAAUCAAAAUUUCCAAAUGGAAACCAGAAGCAGAGUUAGAGACGAAAAAGAAUGUUUUAAUGCAAUUAAAAGGUUCACCUGAGAGUAUGAAUUUGUUGAUAGAUUUUCCUGAUGUAUCAAAAAGUAUUAAGGUCAACUACUUACUUGCUUUCAACAAGACUCAAAAAUCUAUGAACUUCAAUUUCCUUCGAGGAAAGGAGAAAAUGUUCACUAUGACUGGCCUCGUAAACUUUGAUAAAGUUGGCGUGACAAGUUUUGAAGUGAAAGGUUACUGUCAUCCCGUUGGAACUUACGAGUAUUCAGGUAUCUAUAAAAACCGCGGUAAGCAGUCGAUCAUUUUGACUCUAAAGCACAAUGAGCAAGUCAAUGAGAUUGAAGGUCAUUUUCGAUACACUAUACGCAGCUCCUAUUUUGAUUUAGAGUUUGAAUCAUCUUUGAAUAAUCAGAGACACAUGCAUGUAAAAGGCAGCUAUGACUUCAAUGAUCCAAAUGUCAAAUCAGCGUCUCUGUACAUUUCUUGGAACAAUCAUGAGCUUAAAGCUAAGUUUGGAGGCCGUGUAACAGCAAAGGUGGUCUCCGCUGAAAUGCUUAUACUGUCCACAAUCAAAGCUGUAGAAAAUAUAAAUGUUAAAUUUGAGCUGACCUCGCCAAGCUCAAAAGAAAACAACAUCAGUCUAGCUGCUCACGUUAACGAUGAUGACUACAAACUGAAUUGCAAUGUUUUGAUAGAGAAGUUCAACCUCACCGGUAAUCUAAAUGUAAUAUUUCCGUCAUUUAUCCUUAAAGACCUUAAAUAUGAAGUCUCGCUUCAAGAACAGACUUUUAGGAUGAAAAUAGGACACAGUGGUGAAGAAUUAACCUCGGCGAUGUUAGCAUAUGAUUUGACCUCUCAAGAAUUGCUGUAUUUGACUUUUGACGCAUACCAACAGAUUUUACCCUUCUCCAGUGGUUAUUUUUCCGGUGGCAUUGUCGUGGGACCGCAGUCUGGAACUGGAUUUGCAUAUCUGAGCAAGAGGCAGAACAAAAAUAAUGUGGAUCUUUUAGAAGAAGGAGAUUCUUACUUUGCAAUUCAAGGACGUAUCUCAAGACAGUCAAAAGCACUCAACAUAACUUUGAAAUAUGGUAAUGAAACGGAUGAAAUAAUUCUUAAAUACAUCAACCCAGACUUUAGCCAAAGCAUUUGGCAAAGGCGUCUAUUUGUGGAAGUUAAACUUCCGUCUUUGUCUCAAAAUGCUACAAAGAUUGACUUUAGUUUGUCUGGCUCACCAACUAGUCCUGAAAAUGAUUCUUUGCGGUGGGAUUUAGACCUUGAGUCGCCAUUUAAGUUCCUAUCAAAAUUGAGCAAUCACUUGCAUUUCAGUAUAUCUCCGACUUCAAGAAAAUUCAAUUUCUUACUAAAGUUAUCGGGGGAUAUUGUCGAAAAAGAUAAUAUCAUUCGAUUGGAUUUUGAUUUCGAUAGUGUCACUAAGUCCAUAGAUCUCCUAAUUUUGGAAGAAUUCUCGUGCUUUGAAGUUCCAACAAUAAAAUUUAAUGGUUCAUGCAAGUAUGAUCUGUGGAAAGAAUUGAAAAUGAACUCGAACAUCACUAUAAACGAAUUAUUGUACUCAUAUGAAGGUAGUUUUAAUCUUGAUAAUGAAUUUCAUGCCAAAGUAACAAGUGAAACACCAUCGCACGUUUUAACGUUGAAAUUUGGAGGACAUAGUAUUGAGACUGAUACUUCAUCACUAAAAAUGUUUUAUGUGGUAACACCAUCUUAUCAAUUGACUUAUACAUCUGAUUUUACAAUUAAUAGCUUGAAUAAGUUCUUAUCGAUUUCCUUGCCGGGUUACGAAUUAACGGCAACUUUCUCUGGAUUAACAUCGGCAUCAUUGAAGCACAUCUUCGACUAUUCUUUCUCCACACCUACCCACAAAUACUCGGGCUCAUUUAAUUUGGUCGACAACUCUUUUAAGGUUCAACUAUCCUCAAAAGAGCCACUAAAUAACUCCGAAUGCUCUCAAUAUAAUGACUCUUCCUCUAGCUGUAGCAUCGCCAAUUUAAAAGUUGGACUUUUAUCUGUAUCAUUCGAUGAGGCCUCCUCGCAAUACUCUUUUGAGGCAAGUAUGACGGAAAGUGAAGACAUGUUUGAAGCUCCACCAAAGAUCAAGCACCUAACUGGGCUGUCAAUGAAUGUGACCAACUCGGAUGAAGAGGUGUCCCUCAAAAGUCUAGUCAAUUUUAAAAGAAUUCGAAACAAGCCAGUUGAAAUCGUUUUCAAGAAAAAUUGGGAUACUCUGCAAAUUACCAUUUUGGAUGAAGUUUCCCUUGAACUUCAUCUUCGAAAACAUAGAAAGCGGCCAGAAACGGAACUAAGCUGGGGUUCUUUUAACUUACAAGUGUUUAAUGUUUCUCAUAAGCUAGAUUGGGCCUGUUUCCCAGCAGUCGAGCGUUUUCAUCUCAAUGUCAAAUUUGAAUUUUACCCCCACGCACAACCUACAAAAAUACUUAAAAUGUCACUGCUCAUCAAGAACAAUUCUACCCACAAAGUCGGUACCUCUGGCAAAUUUUCUUUUAGCAAAGAAAACACCAAUGUGAUCGUGAAUUACAACAAUGGCUACAUAAACAUUGAAUCCUCCUCUAAAUUGGGACAGAUCGCAUUCAGCUCAUUCAUCGAAAACCACUCUGACAAAAUUUUCUUUGUUGCGCUUUUCAACAUAGAUGAAAAUAAACACAUGGUUAGUUUUAUGCAUCAGAAGUCUCUGCCUCUUGACUCCUGGUCUACGAUUGUGUCUCCGCUCCUUCCUGUCGAAAUGCUGAAAAUCAGCCUCAAGUCAGAAAAUUUAACUAUCCUUUUCAAUGUGAUAACCAAAAAUAGUACAGUUAAACCUGACUUAUUUGUCAAAUUUGGUGUUGUUCCACAGAAAGGAUCUGCAUUUUUGUACUAUAAAAAUCUACUAUUCUCUCCACUCAGUUCUGUCACAGUUGACUGUGAGUGCAUCUUUGAGGAAAAUAGCAUCCGCAAGUUAUACCUCUCGUCAUUUGUCCUUUACAAAAAUCUUCCGUCUGAAGUCGUGGCUGCCUUCGCAUCAAAUGGUAAUCAAAUUGUGUCUUCUUUAAAUGUUCAAGUUCCAUAUAAAAAUCUGAAAGACUUCCAGUUCUCGAUCUCGUUACCAUUAAUUUUGACAUCUCAUUACAAUGCAAGCUUUGUCUUGAAUGUUGAUAAGGCCAUGAUCUCCUCUGGUAGCUUAAUCCUCACUCACACAAUCAACAAUGAUACAACAGACUACUCAGCUGAUGUAGAUUUCUGGUCAUCCAGCCACAAGUCAAAAACAGUGCUUCAGAUAACGCGUCAAAAAGAUUCCUUAAGCCACUUUGCCUUCUCUUCGAAUUAUAAAAAGAGUCUUGUUGCUGUUCGAUACAAGAAAAACACCACUGGUAAACCAACAGAACAAACUUUUACAGUAUUUUGGAACAUGCAAAAAUUGUAG